GUUUGAUCUCAAAUCAGGUAGGACUACCCGCUGAACUUAAGCAU
rnacentral:rRNA from 1 species